rnacentral:rRNA from 1 species
UACAGAGGGUGCAAGCGUUAAUCGGAAUUACUGGGCGUAAAGCGCGCGUAGGUGGUUUGUUAAGUUGAAUGUGAAAUCCCCGGGCUCAACCUGGGAACUGCAUUCAAAACUGACGAGCUAGAGUAUGGUAGAGGGUGGUGGAAUUUCCUGUGUAGCGGUGAAAUGCGUAGAUAUAGGAAGGAACACCAGUGGCGAAGGCGACCACCUGGACUGAUACUGACACUGAGGUGCGAAAGCGUGGGGAGCAAACAGG